AUACGUAGGGGGCGAGCGCUGUCCGGAAUUAUUGGGCGUAAAGGGUUCGCAGGCGGUCUGAUAAGUCAGAUGUGAAAGGCAAUGGCUCAACCAUUGUAAGCAUUUGAAACUGUCAGACUUGAGUUAAGGAGAGGAAAGUGGAAUUCCUAGUGUAGCGGUGAAAUGCGUAGAUAUUAGGAGGAAUACCAGUGGCGAAGGCGACUUUCUGGACUUAUACUGACGCUGAGGAACGAAAGCGUGGGGAGCAAACAGGAUUAGAUACCCUGGUAGUCCACGCCGUAAACGAUGAGUGCUAGGUGUUGGGGGUCAAACCUCGGUGCCGCAGCUAACGCAUUAAGCACUCCGCCUGGGGAGUACGUACGCAAGUAUGAAACUCAAAUGAAUUGACGGGG
rnacentral:rRNA from 1 species